UACGUAGGGCGCAAGCGUUGUCCGGAUUCACUGGGUGUAAAGGGUGCGUAGGCGGGAAGGUAAGUCCGCGGUGAAAUCUCACAGCUCAACUGUGAAACUGCCGUUGAUACUGCUUUUCUUGAGUUCGGGAGAGGUUGAUGGAAUUCCAGGUGUAGCGGUGAAAUGCGUAGAUAUCUGGAAGAACACCAGUGGCGAAGGCGGUCAACUGGCCCGUAACUGACGCUGAGGCACGAAAGCGUGGGGAGCGAACAGG
rnacentral:rRNA from 1 species